rnacentral:tmRNA from 1 species
UGCUCUCUUUUGUUGAGUUUUCUGUCCAUAUAGGCUACUCUACCCUCUCGUCGCCCUAGUUUCCUCGCCCCCUCUCGAGUUAAGAUGAAUUUUUACAACCCCUACCUACGCAAGGGCUCUAAGAAAAAGGCGGACCAGCCUUGCCAAGAAAGAGCCGGGGCCACUGAAAACAUACAGAGGCUAAUUCCCCUAUGUUUCCAGACCCCUGGAACGUCUGGAUACAAGACUUUUAACUCAAUGCUUCCCCCUGUGACAUUUUUGAAUGACCAGCAAAUAAAUCUUCCGCUGCAGCCCGGGCAGCCCCCCUGGACUCCACCCAACAAUACUGCUUCAAUCAAACAGAAAGGCGGACUUGUGGAAAACUUGAAAUUUCAUGUCUAUGACAUCAUCUCAUCUUGUUACAGCCAGGACCGCUGCGAGGACAUUCCGUUCAGAUUCCAGGCGGACAUUAUUCCCAGUGGGACUGUUAUUCAUCUCUUGGGUAAGCUGGAAAAUGGGCAAAGUGUAUGUGUCAAUGUUUUUGGCCAAAAAAUAUACUUCUAUGCCAAGGCUCCAAACAGCCUUGUGCUCAGCUCGGCCAUCCAGGAAGUCAUGAGUCAAUUCAAGGGCAAGCGGGGUCCGUCUUUUCACAUAACCCAGGAGGAAAAAAUUCCACUGGUAACCUACACCGAAGAAUUGACAAAGGUCUACAAAGUUACCCUCUCAUCUUCCCAAUUGCUGUAUCCCAUCUGCGAUAAGCUUAAGGCGUUGGGUAUUGAACUUUUUGAGACCAACGUGGAUGCCUGCCAAAGAUUUAUGAUAGACAAUAAUUUUUCCACAUUUGGCUGGUACACUUGUGACGUGGCAGACCUUCGCCAGUCGAAGAAAGACUCUUUAUGUCAGUUAGAGAUAGACUGUGGUCUGGAGAACAUCUGUCAUCAUCCAGAGCUCUCCUCCUGGCCCCCCUACAAUAUCCUGUCAUUUGAUAUAGAGUGUUUGGGUGAAUGUGGGUUUCCCUGUGCCCUGAAAGAACAGGAUUGUAUUAUUCAAAUUUCCUGUGUCACCUGGAACUGUGCCACCAACUCCAUCUCCAAGCUGUUGUUUUCCCUGGGUACCUGCGACCCCAUCGAGGGCACUGAAGUGUAUGAGUGCCCCUCAGAAUAUGAUCUGUUGAUGGCUUUCCUAAUUUUCAUGAGGGACAGCGGUGUUGAAUUUAUUUCGGGAUAUAAUAUCGCCAACUUUGAUUUGCCAUACAUCAUAGACAGGGCCACCCAAAUCUAUAACAUUGACUGUACACAGUUCACCAAGCUGGUCACCAUGAGGACCUUCGAGGUCAGGAAGCCCAUAGACAGUGGAGCGGGAUUCAUGAGGGCCCAAACCAAGAUCAGGAUAUCGGGAGUCAUUCCAGUGGACAUGUACACCGUGUGCAAAGACAAACUCAGCCUCUCUGACUACAAACUGAACACUGUUGCCAAACACUGCCUGAACAUGGAAAAGGAAGAUGUGUCUUAUAAGGAUAUUCCAAUACUUUUCAAGGAGGGGCCCACAGGGCGGGCUAAAAUUGGAACAUACUGUGUUAUGGAUAGUCAGUUGGUCCUGGACCUACUGAAAUACUUUAUGGCACACAUCGAAAUUGCAGAAAUUGGGAAGUUGGCCAAGAUUCCCGUCAGACGGGUGCUGACUGAUGGACAACAAAUCAGAGUUUUCUCUUCUUUGCUCGACGCUGCCAGGAGGGAGAACUACAUCCUGCCAUCAAAUCAGGCAAAAUGCAGCAACAGUGGGUACCAGGGAGCCACGGUCAUAGAUCCCAUAACAGGAUUUUACAACACUCCUGUGCUUGUAGUGGACUUUGCCAGCCUGUACCCAAGCAUUAUUCAGGCACACAAUCUGUGUUAUUCUACUAUUAUUCCUGACAACAAACUUCAGAUGUUCCCCAACCUGACACCUGCGGACUAUGAGACUUUUACCCUCCCUAGCGGCACUGUUCACUUUGUGAAAAAACACAAGAAAUGUUCACUAUUGUCUAGACUGUUGACAAAAUGGCUGGCCAAAAGAAAAGAGAUCCGGACACAGCUGGCAGCUUGUGAGGAUCCCAUCACAAAGACCAUAUUGGAUAAACAGCAGCUGGCCAUAAAGGUCACCUGUAAUUCUGUUUAUGGCUUCACAGGAGUGGCCUCUGGAAUGUUGCCUUGCCUCCAAAUUGCAGAGACCAUCACUUUCCAGGGCAGGAAAAUGCUGGAAAAAUCCAGAGCCUAUAUAGAAAACAUGAGCUCUGCCACUCUUGGGGCACUGAUGCACAAGACCUACAACCCAGAUGCCUACUUCAGAGUGAUUUAUGGAGACACUGAUUCUCUUUUUGUGGAAACUCAGGGGUAUACGUUAGAGGAAGUGGUAGAGUUUGGAGAGAUGUUGGCAGACAAUACAACCAAGGCCCUGUUUGUACAACCUAUAAAACUAGAGGCCGAGAAGACCUUUAAAAGUUUGCUAAUGAUUACCAAGAAGAGAUAUGUGGGGACUCUGAGUAACAACAAACUGUUAUUGAAGGGUGUGGAUCUUGUCAGGAAAACUGCAUGCAAGUUUGUCCAGUCUGCCACCUCAAACGUGGUCUCCCUGAUUUUGAAUGACAACGAUGUCAGGGCGGCCGCCCAAACAAUGAGUAACUGGGGGAAGCUGGAUGUAUACAGGAGGGGCCUGCCCAGUGGCUUCAGUAAAGUCAUUGAUGCGCUUAACCACAACCAUUUACAAUUAAUAACCAACUCUGUUGAUAUUGACCAUUUGACCUUCACUACCGAACUGAGUAAGCCUCUGACUGAAUAUAAAACCACAAACCUGCCACACUUGGCAGUCUUUAAGAAGCUUGUCAGCAGACAGGAAGAGUUACCUCAGAUUCAUGACAGAAUACCUUAUGUAUUCAUAGACGGUAGUGAAAAGGGACUAAAGUCUGACUUGGCAGAGCACCCCGCCUACGUGCGUCAGCAGAACUUAAGAAUUGCACACAAGGUAUAUUUUGACAAACUGGUCCAUUCGGUGGCUAAUAUAAUUCAGUGCCUCUUUGACAACGACACUGACUAUACAGUGAAAAUCAUCUACAACUUCCUGAACAUCCAACCAGACAACAUAUCUGAGAUUGCUGAACUUUUAAACAUCCAAACUGGUCAUGGAGAAGUCUGCCCCCUCGAUUAUUCUUAAUCACUGGUGCGUGACCUGGCAGGGUCACCAUUUUCUCUGCAGAAACCUUUCAAAUAUAAAAAUUCUAAACAGAAGGAAUGGAUACACCACUCUGGACCUACCACUGACCCUUGGAGACCUGACACAAUAUAGACUGGCUCAUGGACUUAGUGAAAAUCUAAUGGCGCUCAGUCCUUACUCUUGGACCAUACCCUUUCUGGUGUCAUCGAGUGAAACACCUGGAAUUGAGCUUCUUCCUAAGGUGAUUAAUGACUUUGGCACCCCGCUAUCAUUGGCUAUAAAAACUAAUCUCCCGUCUAUCCCCGCGCAUCAGCUGCUAUUUUACAUCAUUUUCCUCCGACCCUCACCCCUAACAUCCAUGUCCUGUUAUGCCAGGCCCCUGUCUUUAGCUUCUACACCCUCCACCAAUGGCCUGUGCCAAUCAGUCUCUGUCUUGGAUAAUAAACCUGGGCUCCUGAUCACUACCCCACUACAUAGAGACCCAGCCAGCGGGAAAUAUACAAGCAAUGUCCAGAGUCCAACUACCUUUAACCUGUUCAGGGUUCUCUACAUCAAGCUAUCGGGGGAGGAGGGGAUGGUUUCUCAAAAAGUAAAGCAUCUCACAAUUGACAAAGAUUCCCUGCAGGAAGGCUUCCUUCAACUGUGUUUAAACAUGUGUGGAGUGUCUUAUGAGACUCUCCAAUGUGAGAUAUUAUUAGAACUGGUUCAGGGCCCCACAAAUUUCAUAUUUCCAGCAGCCUUUCCACCCCCCGUGAGUCUUCCCCACAGAAACUGCAUAGAACUAACUUGUGACACAGAAAGGUGUUUGAAACCAGGUGAUGUUAUGAAACUGAAGCACAGAUUACUUUAUGAGUUGGGACAGAGGGGGGACACACCACAAAAUGCCUUUUUGAUUGUUGGGGCCCACUCACCAGAAACAGUGUGGAUUUCACCAAGUCUGUGGCUACCGGGCCAACCACUAUAUAUAAACAUAAUAAACCUGUCUCACAAA